UACGUAGGCAGCAAGCGUUGUUCGGAAUUACUGGGCGUAAAGAGUGUGUAGGCGGUGCUCUAAGUUUGGUGUGAAAUCUCCCGGCUCAACCGGGAGGCUGCAUCGAAUACUGGAAUGCUAGAGGGUGGGAGAGGUAAGCGGAAUUCCUGGUGUAGCGGUGAAAUGCGUAGAUAUCAGGAGGAACACCCGUGGUGAAAACGGCCACCUAGCCCAGGCCUGACGCUGAGGCGCGACAGCGUGGGGAGCGAACGGG
rnacentral:rRNA from 1 species